UUCAAAAGUUCAAUCUCAGCCUCAGCUUGCGAUUUUUCUUCGCUCAUUUUGAUUAGCAUGUUAGAACGCUCUUGCAGUGACCUUGAAAGGGCAGCAUUUUCAGCUGCAGACAUAAGGAGUUCUUGGUCUAAAUUAACUAUUUUUGCUUCAAACUCAAGCUUAGUUUUGUCCCAUUGUUUGGUCUUUGAGAUUAUAACAUCAUGCAAUUUCUGUUCAUGUUCUUCCUUCAAGUUUCGUAUUUGCCGCAUGCACUCUUUAAGAGCACCAUCCAAAUGUGAUGCCCGAUCUUCAGCAGUAAGCUUUGAAAGUGUGACUGAUUCUAGAUGGUUUUUCAGCG
rnacentral:misc_RNA from 1 species